GGACCUAUUAUUGCGGAAGCCAUGCUGUGUGGCCACCAGCCUCCCUCCCUAUCUAGCACCUCGUAGAUCUCUUGCUAUUAUGAUCCUUUCCAUUGUUUUUCCUACAAUUGAUGUAAGGUUAACUGGUAUGUAAUUCCCCAUGUCACUUCUACUACCCUUUCUGAAAGUUGGGACCACUGACACCACCCUCCAGUCCUAUGAAACUUCACCCAUUCUCCAGCAUGUCUCAAAAAUGGAGGUAG